GAACAAGCAAAGGACCAUGCGCUGUGUAAGCCAGUUUGUCAGUCUGGGAAUAUCCAAUUUAAAAUAUGAUGUGUUCUUCAAGCUGAAUGAGGAUUGUAGCGAUUGAGACAGGAAGUGAUGUCACUGCGGGAACUGUUCUGCGUUGGGACGAGGACCGAGGACGUCUCUCCUCCUCUGCUUCUGCCUGUGACCCUGAUCGGGUAACGUUCCUACCCUGCCCUGACCCUCUGACUCUGCCAUGGGCACCAGGCUCCUCUGCUGGGCGGCUCUGUGUCUCCUGCAGACAGAUCACACAGAUGCUGGAGUCUCCCAGUCCCCCAGUAACAAGGUCAUAGAGAAGGGAAACGAUGUAGCUCUCAGGUGUGAUCCAAUUUCAGGUCAUACGGCCCUUUAUUGGUACCGACAGAGCCUGGGGCAGGGCCCAGAGUUUCUAAUUUACUUCCAAGGCAAGGAUAUAGCAGACGACUCGGGGCUGCCCAGUGAUCGGUUCUCUGCAGAGAGGUCUAGGGGAUCCGCCUCCACUCUGCAGAUCCAGCGCACAGAGCAGGCAGACUCAGCCGUGUAUCUCUGUGCCAGCAGCUUAGCCACAGCGUGACACAAUCGCCUC